UGUCAGUUUAUUCAGGUCGAAUGAUCCCAGACAAAUUGAAUAAGACGAAUUAAAACCUAAGCAACGUUUUUGGACGAUGACCUGAUACAGCAUCUGUUUGCUUCUACAGCUGUUGUGCAAAUUAAGGCCGUCCAACUAUUACAGACUAAUUAAGCCACACCACACUGUUAUCUGUCCAUGAUGGAAGAUUCUCCCAAAUUGACUCUCUAUAAUUUUGAUGAUCCCCAGUAUGACAACUGCAGCUAUGUGCUGACCAGUCCACGCUCCCUGGAAGCAUGUUCCAGGAUGGGAGUAAAGCCAGUUGACCUUCUCUAUACACCUCCCACUGACCAAGAUCAUCAGAUUUGCCAUCUUCUAUAUCCUGGUACACUCUGUAGCAGACUUCACAACGAACAAGAGGACCUGAGACAUC